AUGGGUGAGUAACACGUACUCAACGUACCUUUUAGAUUGGGAUAGCGGAUGGAAACAUCCGAUAAUACCGAAUACUUAUUAUUUUUGCAUGAAAGUAAUAUAAAAGGAAGCGUUUGCUUCGCUAAAAGAUCGGAGUGCGCAACAUUAGCUAGUUGGUGAGGUAACGGCCCACCAAGGCGAUGAUGUUUAGCGGGGUUGAGAGAUUGAUCCGCCACACUGGGACUGAGAUACGGCCCAGACUCCUACGGGAGGCAGCAGUAGGGAAUAUUCCACAAUGGACGAAAGUCUGAUGGAGCGACACAGCGUGCAGGAUGAAGGCCCUAUGGGUUGUAAACUGCUGUGGUUAGGGAAGAAAAAGUAGCAUAGGAAAUGAUGCUACCUUGACGGUACCUGAUUAGAAAGCAACGGCUAACUAUGUGCCAGCAGCCGCGGUAAUACAUAGGUUGCAAGCGUUAUCCGAAAUUAUUGGGCGUAAAGCGUCUGUAGGUUGUUUGUUAAGUCUGGCGUUAAAUUUUGGGGCUCAACCCCAAAACGCGUUGGAUACUGGCAGACUAGAGUUAUGUAGAGGUUAGCGGAAUUCCUUGUGAAGCGGUGAAAUGCGUAGAUAUAAGGAAGAACAUCAAUAUGGCGAAGGCAGCUAACUGGGCAUACACUGACACUGAGAGACGAAAGCGUGGGGAGCAAACAGGAUUAGAUACCCUGGUAGUCCACGCCCUAAACGAUGAUCAUUAGUUGAUGGGGAACUCAUCGACGCAGCUAACGCAUUAAAUGAUCCGCCUGAGUAGUACGUUCGCAAGAAUAAAACUUAAAGGAAUUGACGGGGAUCCGCACAAGCGGUGGAGCAUGUGGUUUAAUUUGAAGAUACGCGUAGAACCUUACCCACUCUUGACAUCUUCUGCAAAGCUAUAGAGACAUAGUGGAGGUUAACAGAAUGACAGAUGGUGCA
rnacentral:rRNA from 1 species